AGUGAACGCUGGCGGUAGGCCUAACACAUGCAAGUCGAACGGCAGCGCAGUGCGUGCUUGCUCUUCCGGGUUGCGGGUGGCGGACGGGUGAGGAAUAUAUCGGAAUCUACUUUUUCGUGGGGGAUCACGUAGGGAAACUUACGAUAAUACCGCAUACGACCUACCGGUGAAAGCGGUGGAUCUUUGGACCUUGUGCGAUUGAAUGCGCCGAUGUUGGGUGAGCUAGUUGGGGGGGUGAGGGCCAAGCAAGGCGACGAUCCGUAGCUGGACUGAGUGGAUGAUCGCCGACACUGGAAGUUAGACACGGUCCAGACUCCUAAGAGAGGCAGCAGUGGGGAAUAGUGGACAAUGGGCGCAAGCAUGAUCCAGUCAUACGGAGCGGGAGAAGGAGGCGCUGCGUGUGUAAAGACCGCUUGUGGGGAAAGAAAAGCAGCAGCUUAAGACCCCGCGGUACUGACGGUAAUCAAAGAAUAAGCACCGGCUAACUUCGUG
rnacentral:rRNA from 1 species